UGAGAUGAGCACCGCCCUCCCCUGAAAGGGAAAGCUCAUCAUUGGGCGACAUCUGCAAAACUGGCCAGUUGGCACACCACAGCGUGUAUGCCACGCUGGCAUUCCACUCACACACACGCAUGCUGAACCGGUCACGAUGGCGUUGUAGUGCGAACAUGCAUGCGUUCUCCACUUGCGCAUGAGCUCGUCGUCCUGAAUAGGAAACGCCUCCGCUCUGUCGGUCGCCGCGUUUGAUGUGAGGACUGCAUCGCCUUUUAUCUGUGCGCCAUCACAAGAGGUAUCAUUGGGGGACCCCCAUCGGGAAGACUCCAAUGGGGCGCCUUACUGCACCCCAACGCAACCGUCAUACACACUUCUCGCGAAAUAACGUAGAUCUCCCCGAGGCGCGCACUACGCAGCUUGAAAAGGGGCGAGCACAGGAGGCGCCUGCGAGAGGCGCUUCAGGGUUUGCUCUACCUGGCGGGAGGAGGGAAAGACGAGGGGCGAGAACUGCCCGCUCGUCUUGGAGCUAGCUUAAGGCGCUGAGGAAGCCCCAGUUCCACAUCGCCUUCCACGAGCCCCGAACUCGGAGCUCCAGUGAGCCGAAGACAACGUGGGGAUUCUCAUCAGCGUCUCCUCUCUGCUGCGUGUAAGAAGCUGGCCAGCGAGGUUGUGCCGGCUCAGGAAUGCCGCUUCAUCUUGCGAGGGGUGCGAGCUGAGAUUGCCGCACUGCAUGCACACGCCUCACAGCAGCCCCAGCCAUCGCCGAUCCCGCGCCAAAUAUGACCUCCGCGUUACGGGGCUGCCCUACCCACAGUGCGACGCCUGCAUGGCAUAAGGCGCUGCAAUGGCGCUCGUGCCCGAGGACCCAGGACCAGGGAGGGUACCGAAGGACUGCCGUACGUGGCACGCCGUUCACAAACGCCGCGGAGCCUGGGCCUCCGUGAUAAGCGGGCUCUUGAUGGCAGUGGCAGUGCGGCGAAAAGGGCGAAGGGAAGCAGUGAUGUGUUGCCGCGGCUACUAUCGUGACGGUUGCUCAGUCGUGCAACACAACCGAAAAUGGCGUUGACGGACGUUUUGAGAGGGUGUGGGGUAGCUCACGCAAGGUAUUGGGGCACCACCGGGUGGUGACAGAUGCCGCAGCCUGUGGUCCCACGUAAUCCUACGCAUAGAGAAUUUUUCUCCGGGAACGGUGAGCCGUUGUGUUUUUGCUCUUCCGCACGCCAGGGCCCCACCCCCUCCUU
rnacentral:misc_RNA from 1 species